rnacentral:rRNA from 1 species
UACGUAGGGUGCAAGCGUUGUCCGGAAUUUAUUGGGCGUAAAGAGCGUGUAAGGCGGCUUUACAGGUCCGUUGUGAAAACUCGAGGCUACAACCUCGAGACGCCGGUGGAAACCGUAAAGCUAGAGUCCGGAAAGAGGAGAGUGGAAUUCCUGGUGUAGCGGUGAAAUGCGCAGAUAUCAGGAGGAACACCCGUGGCGAAAGCGGCUCUCUGGGACGGUACUGACGCUGAGACGCGAAAGCGUGGGGAGCAAACAGGG